GAUGAACGCUGGCGGCGUGCCUAAUACAUGCAAGUCGAGCGAACAGACGAGGAGCUUGCUCCUCUGACGUUAGCGGCGGACGGGUGAGUAACACGUGGAUAACCUACCUAUAAGACUGGGAUAACUUCGGGAAACCGGAGCUAAUACCGGAUAAUAUAUUGAACCGCAUGGUUCAAUAGUGAAAGACGGUUUUGCUGUCACUUAUAGAUGGAUCCGCGCCGCAUUAGCUAGUUGGUAAGGUAACGGCUUACCAAGGCGACGAUGCGUAGCCGACCUGAGAGGGGGAUAGGCCACACUGGAACUGAGACACGGUCCAGACUCCUACGGGAGGCAGCAGUAGGGAAUCUGCCGCAAUGGGCGAAAGCCUGACGGAGCAACGCCGCGUGAGUGAUGAAGGUCUUCGGAUCGUAAAACUCUGUUAUUAGGGAAGAACAAAUGUGUAAGUAACUAUGCACGUCUUGACGGUACCUAAUCAGAAAGCCACGGCUAACUACGUG
rnacentral:rRNA from 1 species